AGUGAACGCUGGCGGUAGGCCUAACACAUGCAAGUCGAACGGCAGCACAGUAAGAGCUUGCUCUUACGGGUGGCGAGUGGCGGACGGGUGAGGAAUACAUCGGAAUCUUCUUUUUCGUGGGGGAUAACGUAGGGAAACUUACGCUAAUACCGCAUACGACCUACGGGUGAAAGCAGGGGAUCUUCGGACCUUGCGCGAUUGAAUGAGCCGAUGUCGGAUUAGCUAGUUGGCGGGGUAAAGGCCCACCAAGGCGACGAUCCGUAGCUGGUCUGAGAGGAUGAUCAGCCACACUGGAACUGAGACACGGUCCAGACUCCUACGGGAGGCAGCAGUGGGGAAUAUUGGACAAUGGGCGCAAGCCUGAUCCAGCCAGACCGCGUGGGUGAAGGAGGCCUUCGGGUUGUAAAGCCCUUUUGUUGGGAAAGAAAAGCAGCAGGUUAAUACCCCGCUGUUCUGACGGUACCCAAAGAAUAAGCACCGGCUAACUUCGUG
rnacentral:rRNA from 1 species